rnacentral:rRNA from 1 species
UACGAGGGGGGCGAGCGUUGUUCGGAAUUAUUGGGCGUAAAGGGUGCGUAGGCGGUUCCGCAAGUCCUGUGUGAAAUCUUCGGACUCAACUCGAAGUCUGCACGGGAAACUGCGGGGCUUGAGUGUGGGAGAGGUGAGUGGAAUUCCCGGUGUAGCGGUGAAAUGCGUAGAUAUCAGGAGGAACACCUGUGGUGUAGACAGCUUACUGGACCACUUCUGACGCUGAGACACGAAAGCGUGGGUAGCAAACAGG